GAUGAAGAACGUAGCGAAAUGCGAUAAGUAAUGUGAAUUGCAGAAUUCAGUGAAUCAUCGAAUCUUUGAACGCACAUUGCGCCCGCCAGUAUUCUGGCGGGCAUGCCUGUUCGAGCGUCAUUUCAACCAUCAAGCCCCAGGCUUGUGUUGGGGACCUGCGGCUGCCGCAGGCCCUGAAAACCAGUGGCGGGCUCGCUGUCACACCGGGCGUAGUAGAUUUUAUCUCGCUCAGGGCGUGCUGCGGGUUCCGGCCGUUAAAAAGCCUUUUUUACCCAAGGUUGACCUCGGAUCAGGUAGGAAGACCCGCUGAACUUAAGCAUAUCAAUAAGCGGAAGGA
rnacentral:misc_RNA from 1 species